rnacentral:lncRNA from 1 species
ACCACACCUGUUGUUAGUUACACCACAGCUGCUGUUAGUUACCCACAGCUGCUGUUAGUUAUACCACAGCUGCUGUUAGUUAUACCACAGCUGCUGUUAGUUACACCACAGCUGCUGUUAGUUACACCACAGCUGUUAGUUACACCCAGCGCUUUGUUAUACCACGCUGUUGUAGUUACACCACAGCUGUUAGUUACACCACAGCCUGUUAGUUACACCACAGCGUUAGUUACACACAGCUGUUAGUUACACCACAGCUGUUAGUUACACCACAGCUGUUAGUUAUACCACAGCUGUGUUGUUACACACAGUGUUACACCACAGCAAUAUAGAACAACAGUCGGCAGCAAUUGCUUAGGCUCAAUAUAGAUAUUUUUGGGGGAAAGGGUACUCCAUUCUUUCAAUUCUUCAUUGCUGAAGAUGACACUCAUAAUCCAGUCAAGUGG